GAUGAACGCUGGCGGCGUGCCUAAUACAUGCAAGUCGAGCGAACAGACGAGGAGCUUGCUCCUCUGACGUUAGCGGCGGACGGGUGAGUAACACGUGGAUAACCUACCUAUAAGACUGGGAUAACUUCGGGAAACCGGAGCUAAUACCGGAUAAUAUAUUGAACCGCAUGGUUCAAUAGUGAAAGACGGUUUUGCUGUCACUUCUAGAUGGAUCCGCGCCGCAUUAGCUAGUUGGUAAGGUAACGGCUUACCAAGGCAACGAUGCGUAGCCGACCUGAGAGGGGGAUCGGCCACACGGGAACUGAGACACGGUCCAGACUCCUACGGGAGGCAGCAGUAGGGAAUCUUCCGCAAUGGGCGAAAGCCUGACGGAGCAACGCCGCGUGAGUGAUGAAGGUCUUCGGAUCGUAAAACUCUGUUAUUAGGGAAGAACAAAUGUGUAAGUAACUAUGCACGUCUUGACGGUACCUAAUCAGAAAGCCACGGCUAACUACGUG
rnacentral:rRNA from 1 species